AGGACGAACGCUGGCGGCGUGCUUAACACAUGCAAGUCGAACGAGGUGCUUGCACCUAGUGGCGAACGGGUGAGUAACACGUGAGCAACCUGCCCUUGGCUCUGGGAUAGCCUCCGGAAACGGGGAUUAAUACCGGACAUGACCUUGGUCUGCAUGGACUGAGGUGGAAAGUUUUUCGGCCAGGGAUGGGCUCGCGGCCUAUCAGCUUGUUGGGGGGUAACGGCCACCAAGGCGACGAC
rnacentral:rRNA from 1 species